GAUGAACGCUGGCGGCGUGCUUAACACAUGCAAGUCGAACGAUGAAGCCCAGCUUGCUGGGUGGAUUAGUGGCGAACGGGUGAGUAACACGUGAGUAACCUGCCCUUGACUCUGGGAUAAGCCUGGGAAACUGGGCCUAAUACUGGAUAUGACUUCUCAUCGCAUGGUGGGGGGUGGAAAGAUUUAUUGGUCUUGGAUGGACUCGCGGCCUAUCAGCUUGUUGGUGAGGUAAUGGCUCACCAAGGCGACGACGGGUAGCCGGCCUGAGAGGGUGACCGGCCACACUGGGACUGAGACACGGCCCAGACUCCUACGGGAGGCAGCAGUGGGGAAUAUUGCACAAUGGGCGCGAGCCUGAUGCAGCGACGCCGCGUGAGGGAUGACGGCCUUCGGGUUGUAAACCUCUUUCAGUAGGGAAGAAGCGAGAGUGACGGUACCUACAGAAGAAGCGCCGGCUAACUACGUG
rnacentral:rRNA from 1 species